rnacentral:rRNA from 1 species
AUGAACGCUGGCGGUCUGCUUCACCCCUGCCAGUCGAACGGACUCUUCGGAGUUAGUGGCGGACGGGUGAGUAACGCGUGAGAAUCUGGCUUUGGGUUCGGGACAACCACUGGAAACGGUGGCUAAUACCGGAUGUGCCGAGAGGUAAAAGAGAAAUUGCCUGAAGAUGAGCUCGCGUCUGAUUAGCUAGUUGGUGAGGUAAAGGCUCACCAAGACAGCGAUCAGUAGCUGGUCUGAGAGGAUGACCAGCCACACUGGGACUGAGACACGGCCCAGACUCCUACGGGAGGCAGCAGUGGGGAAUUUUCCGCAAUGGGCGAAAGCCUGACGGAGCAAUACCGCGUGAGGGAAGAAGGCUCUUGGGUUGUAAACCUCUUUUCUUAGGGAAGAACAAAAUGACGGUACCUAAGGAAUCAGCAUCGGCUAACUCCGUG